ensembl:lncRNA
GCGAUUUCAAGACGUAGUACCGCCAGUCGAUUGGAACCACGUAAGAAUAAAAACAAUUCAGCCUCGACCACGCACACAAAUAGCCUCAGUCUGCGAGUUGCCUAGCAACUAGGCUCCGCUCUGGUUUGCCAGUUGCCCACUGACUAGAGACAGCCAUUCGUUGAGACUAAUCCUGCUGCUGACCUUGACACCCGUUUUAGUAGUACAGAUCCCAGAGGCCCAUUGGAUGAAAACUAUCAGCCGGGAACAAGCUCAACAUCAUCUGGUUUGGAUGAGGAAAAAGGACUUCAUGAGGCUGGCAAGAGACAAAGUGUUCAGUCUGAGUCCAAGGUCAUACAGCUCAUGAAGUUCUGCCAGACCAGCUGCCAUUGGCCCAACCAACACAAGACGAUGCACACCAGCUGAAGAACAUUCCGGACCCUGUCUGGAACAUUCAGCCAACAAAACAUCUAUAUUGUUGUACUGAUGUUGUAGUAUAAUGUAGAAUACCUAGUAUACCCACAACUGUAAUGUUGAUUUGAGUAGCAGCAGAAACCAAUAAUGUUGACUUCCAAAUUCUGGAUUAAUUCAUUGUGAUAUUUAAGAAAUGUAUUCAGAAGUAACUUGCUACAAUCUUACUGAUGAAAAAAAAAAAAAAAAUGAUACAGAGAGACCAACCAUUGACGUCAUGGUUUGAACACACCCAGCACGCAAACAAAAAAAUCCCAAAUACCUCUCAUCACUCAUAAUUAUUUAGGGAGACUGGGAAAACACUCCAAAUAGUGUCUAGCUGUGAAUGUUACCUUUAAAAUGUCUGUGCUGGGAAAUGUAUCAAGAUCACCCAUGUUGCACAAGCCUUAAACUUACAUAAAUAUGUAAAUAAUAAUAAUAAUAACUUACCUGACUUCCCUAGUUAAACAACAUUUAAGCCUUAUAGCCUGUCAGGUUGAUUGCAGAAUGUUAGCCUACAUUUCUGAAAUUGUUGAUUAUUUCAUCUCAAGAUUUUAACCCAUUUGAAACUGAAUGAAUGAGACUGGCGCUGUAAUAUUUGAUGAGGCUGAGAUAUUUACGAAUCGGAGAGGGACUCUUUUCUGCGUUAUCCCAUUGGUCAAUGUCACUGCAGUGUGCCUCCUGCAGGCAGGCGGAUCG